CAAUAGCGUAUAUUAAAGUUGUUGCAGUUAAAAAGCUCGUAGUUGGAUUUGUGGCCGUCACGGGCGGCCUAUCACUUAGUGUUAGUGCUUGCCUGUGUCGCCAUCCUUGGGUGGAGCCCGUGUGGCAUUAGGUUGUCGUGCGGGGGAUGCCCAUCGUUUACUGUGAGAAAAUUAGAGUGUUCAAAGCAGGCUUAUGCCGUUGAAUAUGUUAGCAUGGAAUAAUAAGAUAGGACCUCGGUACUAUUUUGUUGGUUUGCGCACCGAGGUAAUGAUUAAUAGGGACAGUUGGGGGUAUUCGUAUUUCAUUGUCAGAGGUGAAAUUCUUGGAUUUCUGAAAGACGAACUACUGCGAAAGCAUUUACCAAGGAUGUUUUCAUUAA
rnacentral:rRNA from 1 species